UACGGAGGGUGCGAGCGUUGUCCGGAAUCACUGGGCGUAAAGGGCGCGUAGGCGGCCUGAUAAGUAGGGGGUGAAAUCCUGCGGCUUAACCGCAGGGCUGCCUUCUAAACUGUCAGGCUCGAGCACAGUAGAGGCAGGUGGAAUUCCCGGUGUAGCGGUGGAAUGCGUAGAGAUCGGGAAGAACAUCAGUGGCGAAGGCGGAUCUCUGGGCCAUUACUGACGCUGAGGAGCGAAAGCGUGGGGAGCGAACAGG
rnacentral:rRNA from 1 species